UACAGAGGGGGCAAGCGUUGUUCGGAAUUACUGGGCGUAAAGGGCGCGUAGGCGGCCUUCUAAGUCGAACGUGAAAUCCCCGGGCUCAACCCGGGAACUGCGUCCGAUACUGGAAGGCUUGAAUCCGGGAGAGGGAUGCGGAAUUCCAGGUGUAGCGGUGAAAUGUGUAGAGAUCGGGAGGAACACCGGUGGCGAAGGCGGGUCUCUGGGCAUCUCCUGACGCUGAGGCGCGAAAGCGUGGGGAGCAAACGGG
rnacentral:rRNA from 1 species